rnacentral:rRNA from 1 species
AGCAGCCGCGGUAAUUCCAGCUCCAAUAGCGUAUAUUAAAGUUGUUGCAGUUAAAAAGCUCGUAGUUGAAUUUCGGGGUUAGUAGGCUGGUCAUGCCACCGGUAUGUACUGGUCUUUCUGAUUCCUCCUUCCUGAUGAACUGUAAUGCCAUUAAUUUGGUGUUGCAGGGAAUCUGGACUGUUACUUUAGAAAAAAUUAGAGUGUUUAAAGCAGGCUAACGCUUGAAUACAUUAGCAUGGAAUAAUGAAAUAGGACGUUCGAUCCUAUUUUGUUGGUUUCUAGGAUUGACGUAAUGAUUAAUAGGGAUAGUUGGGGGCAUUAGUAUUCAAUUGUCAGAGGUGAAAUUCUUGGAUUUAUUGAAGACUAACUACUGCGAAAGCAUUUGCCAAGGAUGUUUUCAUUAAUCAAGAACGAAAGUUAGGGGAUCGAAGACGAUCAGAUACCGUCGUAGUCUUAACCAUAAACUAUGCCGACUAGGGAUCGGAUGAUGUUAAUUUUUAAUGACUCAUUCGGCGUCCG